ensembl:lncRNA ALOX12P2 arachidonate 12-lipoxygenase pseudogene 2
GCAAGAUGGGCAAGUACACGGUCCGCGUAGCCACCGGGGAUUUGCUCCUGGCGGGCUCUCCCAACCUGGUGCAGCUAUGGCUGGUGGGCGAGCACGGGGAGGCAGACCUAGGGAAGCAGCUGCCACCGGUGUGGGGAAAGGAGGCAGAGUUUGAGAUCGACGUCCCCCUGCACCUGGGGCGCCUCCUGAUGGUGAAGCUGCGCAAACACAACGUGCUGUUGAGUCUCGACUGGUUCUGCAAGUGGAUCUCAGUGCAGGGCCCGGGGACCCAAGGCGAGGCCUUUUUCCCCUGCUACCGCUGGGUGCAGGGCCACGGAAUUAUCUGCCUGCCUGAGGGUGGGGCUCCUGGAAAGAUGGGUUAAUCCUGCCUAUAGCAGGGAAUAGGCAACCGGACCUUCCUAGGGACGAGCGAUUCCUCGAGGAUAAGGAUUUAGACUUUAAUGUCUCCCUAGCAAAAGGGUUGAAGGACUUGGCCAUUAA